CGUAGAAACUUAGUUUCUCUUACUCUCCCUCUCUCUCGAACGAGAAAAAAACUCGUUUCUCUAGGAAAAUCACAAUCCGAGGUUUUGAAAGAUUCUAAUCGUCAAUUUCAUUUGGAUUCAGGUACGAUUCGCCAUGUUUCCUCGACUGUUUGGAUUAGAUUCAGGUGCGAUACGAUUUUAUUCCAAAUCGAAGUUCAGAUGGUUUUCUUUUUAGUCAGAAUUUAGGUUCGCUUAUAUUUAAAACUUUUACUCGCAUGUUUGAUUCUGAUUUAGGUUGGUUAGUUUUUAAUUUUAGUUGGUAGAUUGGUUAGUUCAUACAGAUCGAUUUGAUCUUUGGAAAAGAGUUAUUGUAAAAUUUUGAGUUAGUUUGAUAAUUCUUUGAUUUGAAAUGUUGAUUGGUGGUUAUCUCAAUCAAUACUGAUCUGUUGAGAGGAAACGGAACUCAAAUUCCUCAAUAAUUCUGUUGUCCUGCUAACAUGCAGACUUUAUUCCCAUUAAGCAUAUGGAAAUAUACCCGUUGAUGAUGGAUUUACAGCUUUUGAAUAUCUAAUACUCUUAGAUAUGAUUAAACAAUAUACACGGAAUUAUAAUUUACAUGAAAUUCUGAAUACAUAGACAAUGAUUUCCAUUUCUAAAGAGCAGACAAAAGUUAGUUUGAAUUUGUUAGAUCGAUGAUUAUAAACAAUAUAAUUGCCAGUUCUAUUGAUCUGUGAACAUGGAAAGUUGAUUAUUGAAAUACGUGUGUGCAUUAUAAUGGACACCCUUAUUCUUAUGUAUAUCAUUUUACUCAACCAUGACGAAUUCCAAUUUAACUUUCCCAGUUCGCUCUGUUUCCUUUGUGGUACUCUGCAUGCUUUGCUCUUGUGAAUUAAUGUGUCCAUAGUACGAUAAAGCAAUGAUCCACCGUAUUUUUAAAAGUAGGAAGAUAAACUGUAAUUAGACUCCUGCUUUAGAAAUGCUCAGUGUCUCUUCUGCUUACAUAUGCUUCCCUUGUAACCCAUUUUCCACUUAUUAUGGCAAUCCCUCCCAUCUGUUCUGCACUGAAAACCUUUCAUGUUAUUCAACUUCUGGUACAAGUCUUUGGCUUCUAAUGUUUUUGAAUUGCUGUAUCUUUGUAAGAGUAUAUUGUGGUUCUUGACAUGGAAAGCAUCAGCAUCAAGACAGGGAUGAUUUGGAGCCGUUUCUCGGCAAAAAGAGUAGUGAAUUUGUGUCCUGGUAUUACAUUGUUCCUCGAGUUUUUUUCAAUAAUCAAUUAAUUUUACAAAACCAGGUGGUUUGAUGCAUUUUUGUUCUUUGUUAUUGAUUUGAUGUAGUCGUUGUCUAUUCCUGUUUAGAAUAAUUUGGGCUACUGAAAUCGACAAAAUGCAUUAGCAUCUAUAUCGUGCAGAAUCAGUUACUUAUUUAAUGCAUCCCCCCUAAACUGAAACUGGCCUGUAUACGAUUUCGUCAAUAAUAGCAUUAUGUGAAAUGUACAAGAAAAACUUAGCAUCUAUAUCGUGCGAAUUUCCAUGGGAUACAGAGUGCUGUAGUUGCAAUGAUUACCGUACAUAUUUGUAUUUGUCCUGUGGUAGAGAAACAGAAAUGUUUAUUGCGUUUUGCGGUUAAAGGAAAGGGGUCUAGUGUAGUGUGGGAGGUGAUUUUUGGUAGACAUGGGUACAGGGUUUAGAUAGAGAUGAGUGGAAAAUUGCAUUCAUGAUUCACACCUAGAGCCUUAAUUAUAGUUGGAUGUUGGUAUGUAGCAUCUGAAACUCAGUUCAUUCCGUAGCAUCCGAAACUCGGUAAUACUAUCAUGGGAUGAGUUGUUGCUGAUACUACUAACUUUGUUGUUGUAUACGAAGAUUUUUCAUGUAUGACUAACAUUGAAUGCUUAUUUCUUCACAGGAAAACUCAAAGUGUCUUCCUAAAAGAAGACCAUUUCAAAGAUACUAACUUUAGUGAUAAAGCAGACCAUCUACAACUCUCAUCUUUUACUUUUCAAAUUUAUGAUAAGUCCAGUACUAAUAGUAAAUGCUUCUGUCUGUUAAUUUUUCUCUUUUGCAAUAAAAUCCAAAAGUAGUUGGUCAUAAGUUAACACCUAAUUGUUCUCUGUUUUAUUAUUGUUUCCUGGAUUUGUAGUUUAGUGGUCUUAAGAAAUUGUAUGACUUCGACUCUCUUUCAAGGGGCUUCUAUUGGUCCUCUUAUUCAGAUGGCGAUGGAUAUUUCACGUAAUUAUAAAUGCAUAAGAAUUGUUGUUUUUUUGUUGGUGUGGGUAUCUGUUAGUAUAUUAACCAGAGAGGAAAUAUUAAUUUCUUGCUUUUGUUCUUCUAGAUGAUAGUUCAUUGGCUCAUAUUAGGAGGUUAAAGCUAUCAUCAUAUUCCAGGGCAUGUUGGUACUCACUAGGAAUGGUGAAGGAUCAGUAGAAUGGUGUAAAAAUAAGGUCAUCUUGAUGUCUGCAAAGCAGACUGGAAAGCAAAUGGUGCAGGGGGGAAGCUUUAAAAGCUCUAGCACCAGUAGCUGAUUAGUCACUAGUACCUUGUGGCAUCUGCCUGACAUUUUAUAUGCAUCUUUAGGAGCAAUUUCAAAAAUGUUAUGAUGUUGUUAUACCUUAUCCCAAAAAUAUUAGUUGAAAUUGAUGUUGGAAUUAUAAGCAGGGGUUUGAACUAAUCAGUUAAAACAGUGCAGGUUUAUGUUACCUUUGAAGAUGAGGAGGUGCUCAAAGCAAGGGGAUCGGGAUAAAGCUUAUGGAUAAGUCUCUAUCAAACUGGAUAAAGCUCGAGUUUCUUCCUUCUGUGUCUUUUGAUUGUAGGGUCUGUCUACUAAUUAAACAAUCUUUAUAUCUUGGUGACGCAAGGAACUUUGUUUCUGUUGGUGGCGGCAUUACCGAAGUUCGAAGGUUCCAUUCUAGUUUCCAUACCGCACAGAGUGGUUUGACCUUGACCAAAGUAAACCAUUGCUCCCGUGCUUUAAUUUUUGUUAUGCUUCUUGUUUUUCUUCUCUUCCCUAUUUUUAUGGUCAAUAUGGUAUAUUCUUAUUUUUACGUGUAUUUGAUUUGUCUGCAUAGCUUAGGGGUAAGAAUUCUAUACUAGCUAUUGAACAAGUACCAGGUUAUUAGUUCUGGAUGUUGGCCCUUGAUUUCAAGGUACAGGGCAUGUUUAUAUACUCAAUCCCUGGUAGAGGACAUGACCCUAACAUGGAAAUUGUUCCCAAGUAAGUUAGUCAUUUUCCUACGGAUAGAUAAUACUUGUUUCUUGGUUGCUAGAUACGCUUAAAUCUACCAUCAGAAAGAGAAAAAAAAAAGGCCAAUUCUGCUUAGGGUACUUGCCUGUCUUUCUCUGUCUCAGCUCAUCAAUACGUCCAGCAUUAGAGGGUUCUGAAGGCUUGCUGCAAAAGAAGGCGUACAGGAUACCCUGCAUUAGUCUCGAGGUUGUCACGGAUUGUGCAAGUCUCUGGCUUUUCAGAUUUAACAUCAUUCUCCAGUGUUAGUGGUUGACACUAUUUGCUUGAUCGUACUUGUAGUGCUUCAGGGAAUAGUCUAAAUGAGCUUGUUCUGAUAUUAAGGAUCUGUGUUUUGGUACCCUUGAUUUGAGUUAAACAAGUAGAUUCUGCAGAAAUGUGUAAUUUUUCUAUUUUCUUGUUCAGGAAUGAAUCUGAUUCAAACCCAAUGGAAUAUAGUUUUUCUAUUAGCCUUUU